rfam:Streptomyces sp. MMG1522 P406contig60.1, whole genome shotgun sequence.
GAGGAAGCCCGGUGAGAAUCCGGCGCGGUCCCGCCACUGUGAGUCCGGCCGCCGCCACCACCGGCAGCCGGACGAGUCAGGAACUC